ensembl:lncRNA
AUGGCAGCAGCCUCUGUGUGGGGGGGAAAAGCAACAUGCUGGAUAUUGAAUUGGACUUUCCUCCUUCCUAGGAUGAAAGGAUGUUAUCUAUCCCGUGCCAAGAGGGAACUGAGAGCAAUGAACAUAUGGCUGCUACUAUCAGCACUGGUGUAUUUGCAGCGAUGCCUAUCAACAUCCACCAGAGAGCAGGGCAGCUCCAAAACCCACAUCUUUUAUGCUGUGGAAAUUGAUGGAGACAGCAACACAGCCAGCUUCUUGGCCAAACAACAUGGAAUGCAGUUCAUUUCAAAGGUACUGGUCUCUUAG